rnacentral:lncRNA from 1 species
ACAUUAGUUGAAUAUACCAAUAACGACUUAGAAUUUCACUGGGUACAAGAAGAAUGAGUGGGUCUUUCUAACCUUAAUUCAUGAGCUUGCUACAGAGUAUUAUGCAUUAAUGAUAUAUAAUAUAUAUGAAAGCAAUUCAUGAGCUUAAUGUAGUAUAAAAUGUAAAGCUAUUUUAUUAUUUCUAUGUGUAGCUCUAUACACUAGCACCUAAAUCAUUUUUCAUGCACGUUACAUACAAUUAAACAGAAAUAUAAAAUAUACUUAAUUUUAGGUUUUCAUAUGUGUGCUAUUAGCUAAAACAUAAAAAUGGAGAGUUAUGCUCUUUAUUAAGAAAUCUACUGCCUAAUAACAUCUUCCCAUUUUAUUGUAAUUCAAACAAAAAUAGUCUUACAUUAGGAAAGUUUAAAAUGCUCAAUAGUACAUUGUAAAAAGUAAA